GUUUUCCAGUUUCCAAUGACCCUCCACGGUUGAGCCGUGGGCUUUCACAUCAGACUUAAAAAACCGCCUACGCGCGCUUUACGCCCAAUAAUUCCGGAUAACGCUUGCCACCUACGUAUUACCGCGGCUGCUGGCACGUAGUUAGCCGUGGCUUUCUGAUUAGGUACCGUCAAGACGUGCACAGUUACUUACACGUUUGUUCUUCCCUAAUAACAGAGUUUUACGAUCCGAAAACCUUCAUCACUCACGCGGCGUUGCUCCGUCAGGCUUUCGCCCAUUGCGGAAGAUUCCCUACUGCUGCCUCCCGUAGGAGUCUGGACCGUGUCUCAGUUCCAGUGUGGCCGAUCACCCUCUCAGGUCGGCUACGUAUCGUUGCCUUGGUAAGCCGUUACCUUACCAACUAGCUAAUACGGCGCAGGUCCAUCUAUAAGUGAUAGCAAAGCCAUCUUUYACUAUCGAACCAUGCGGUUCGAAAUAUUAUCCGGUAUUAGCUCCGGUUUCCCGAAGUUAUCCCAGUCUUAUAGGUAGGUUACCUACGUGUUACUCACCCRUCCGCCGCUAACRUCAAAGGAGCAAGCUCCUCGUCUGUUCGCUCGACUUGCAUGUAUUAGGCACGCCGCCAGCGUUCAUCCUGAGCCAGGAUCAAACUCU
rnacentral:rRNA from 1 species